rnacentral:lncRNA from 1 species
GUAGCUUGAGGUUUACAGUCAGACAUUAUUUGAGGAGAGUAAGCUCUGAGAUGGUCACCUAGGAACCAAAGCCAUUAAGUCACUCUGUCCCUGGGAAACACUCCCAUGUUCCCUGGGCUAUUUUCCCCCACUGACACUGAAAAGGAUGAAUGCUUGCCUUCCUUCUACUUAUUAAUCAACCCAGGGAACCAUCACUCUCCAAGCAGAAGAGGCCUUCUCGUGGUUCCUUCGGUGGUCCGUGUUCAUAGAGCUGCUCAGAGACUGCCUCCUGUUUAUCCUACAGUAGAAAUAAAGGCUGGGAGAGUCAUCGAUUCUGAAAAUAAUGCACAUACUGCUGGGAACUUAGUUGCUUUCUUACUGAAUGCCCACAUGCAGAGCCUUCCAAAUUGGUAUUGA